rnacentral:tRNA from 1 species
AUCUAUUUAGUAUAUAUUAGUACAUUAAGCCUCCAACUUAAAAGAUUAUAAAAUAAAAUGGAUA